rnacentral:rRNA from 1 species
AGCGAACGCUGGCGGCGUACUUAACACAUGCAAGUCGAACGGGGAUCGUCGGGUUAGCAAUAAUUCGGCGGUCCUAGUGGCGCACGGGUGAGUAACACGUGGGUAACCUGCCCUUGAGUUCGGGAUACCCCCUCGAAAGGGGGGCGUAAUACCGGAUACGUUCCUUGGAUCGACAGGUCUGAGGAGGAAAGGUGGCGCAAGCUGCCGCUCUUGGAGGGGCUCGCGGCCUAUCAGCUAGUUGGCGGGGUAACGGCCCACCAAGGCUAUGACGGGUAGCUGGUCUGAGAGGACGACCAGUCACACGGGGACUGAGACACGGCCCCGACUCCUACGGGAGGCAGCAGUGGGGAAUUUUGGACAAUGGGGGUAACCCUGAUCCAGCCAUGCCGCGUGCGGGAAGAAGGCC